rnacentral:sRNA from 1 species
UGUAUCUGAAGCCUGACGAGGAUGAGAACCUCCGGGGGCAAGAGGUUCGACCCGAGCGAAGCGAGAAAACGUUGCGUCA